UUGUCAACUUAAUUUCAUUGAUUUGAAAAGAAGUACAGUGAUCGAAGCCCAAUAACAUAAAAUAAAAGCCCAACAUAAACCUAAUCAAGAUUUAAAAUUAAAGAAGAGUGUGGGAUUUUUGUGAAACGACACGUGUGCAUAAUUGAGAAUUGGCUAGUGACUCAUCACCUUCUUCUCCACCGAGCUGAGGCUGCCGAUCGAAAUCACCAUCAUCGCCGAUCAAAUUCUUCUUUAUCCUCUAGUGAUUUCAGCAGUAACUACUAGUCUCUCCGAUCACCAACUCGAACACCUUUUGCUAACAAUCACUGGAAUUAAUUGAAUGGAAUUUGCUUUGUUUACUGGAAAUCUUCCUCAGCUGAUUGAAAUCAAAGCACUCUUCAGAGAACUAUCAAAACACGACAAGGACUCCAAAUCUACAUACUCCGUUUCAAUCCACUGCAACAAC
rnacentral:lncRNA from 1 species